UGGCAUGUAGCUUAGGUGGUAAAGUGCUUGCCUGGCAUGCAGGGAGUCCUGGCUUCAAUUCCCAGCACCACAU
rnacentral:tRNA from 1 species